rnacentral:rRNA from 1 species
UUUUAAUUGAGAGUUUGAUCCUGGCUCAGGACGAACGCUGGCGGCGUGCUUAACACAUGCAAGUCGAGCGAUGAAGUUCCUU